rnacentral:misc_RNA from 1 species
GAAAUGCGAUACUUGGUGUGAAUUGCAGAAUUCCGCGAAUCAUCGAGUCUUUGAACGCAAGUUGCGCCCGAGGCUUGACCGAGGGCAUUUCCGCUAGAGCGUCACCGCGCCCCCCCACCAAUCCGCUCCCAGCGAGUCGGGUCGAGUGAAAGUGGCCGUCCCAGUCGUUCUAAGGCUGGGUUGGCUGAAAUGGAGGGAAUUUGGCCGCCGUGGUGACACAGUCCGCGAUCGGGUGAUCCGAGCUCUUCAUCGAGCCCGGAAUUUUUCUAAGUGCGUGGCUGCGUCCCCCAGUUGGUUGUUACCCCAUGCAGGUCCCGCGCCCCCUUGGCGCUCCUUCGGGAGCGCGAAGCGGCGUGCGUCACGCAUCAGACCUCUAAUCGGAAAAGACUACCCGCUGAGU